UUUUUUUUUCUGUGUCGUAAGCAUGAAGAAGCUAUUCACAUAUAUGUCAUUGUCUUUUGUUAUUACCUGAUUUAUCAUCAACAUUUUAUUUCCUGAUUUAUCGCUCACCUAUGUUGAUGAGCACAAAUCUCUGCUUUCAUUGGUACUUGCAUGCCAAUUUGAAACUACCAGGAUUUUUUUUAUCCGCCAGAAUAAGUGCGUGUUGUUCAACGCAGCAUCUUUGAUUUCUGUUUCAGAUUCUUUGACAGCAAUGCUUUCACCUCAUUUGGACGAGCCGCGUGCUUACAUUGGAUGCAUGAAAUCAGGCGAAGUUUUCUCUGACUCGUGAGUUCAUCUAAUUCUCUCACAUCAAUCAGUUUGCCUCUCAUGAGCUGGCCACUCAGCUCUCAACUUCCAUUCAAGCGUCCCUUUCAUCAGUUUUCAUUUGAUUUCUUCAGAAAACACAAAUGGUACGAACCUGACUGGUGGAAAUUUGGCGACGGAAAGUCGUGAGUAUAUUCCCAACUUUCUGCGUAAACUUUUCCAUCAUAUGCCGGCUCAAGAACAGUUGGAUGGUUUCUUAAAUCCGAUUUACCUUUGUCAACUCUUCAUUUCCUGCUGAUCUUCCGUUUUCUUCCGGGAUUUUGCUCCCUUAUUACUCCCUGCAUCAUCGACGAGGGCUUGAUGGGAUUGCACCGAAAUAGUUCAGUUCAUAAAUGAUCAUCUGUAGCAUUCUAUUUUUAGCAUUCAGGAACAUUGAAUAUUAAAUUCAAGAGAAUGCUGCCCGAAUUCCUUAUGCCUAUUAUGUAAUGGAUUUAUAUAUAUGCCUGCUGAUGGGUCUCCCCAGGGCCAUUUAUAUGCUUCAUGUGGUUCUAUUUUCUUUCUUCUCCAUGUUAAAUUAAAUAUGUCGCCGUGUCUGACAGAUAUUUUCGUCAUGCGUCUGGUGAAUUUUUUAUCUUAUCCCGAGCAUUGGCACAGUUUAUCUCCAUUAACAGGUUAGUUGACUUUCUUCCUGCUACCAUACGGGAAUCCCACGCCGUGAGAAGCUUCUGGAACCCUAAUUACCUCUUAUCUUCCGCAGAUCCAACCUGAAGGCAUACGCCCAUGAUGAUGUCAGCGUCGGUUCAUGGUUGAUCGGGCUUGACGUCAAGCACGUCAAUGAGGGGAAGCUGUGCUGUUCAUCUUGGUCCACUGGUACUCUUUUUUUUUGGUUUACAUAAUACACAAUAAAAAAUUAUUACCCAAUAUCUUUUUAUUUUGAUUUAUAUGAACUAUAUUUUCUCACUCUUUCUAUUUCCAGUGAUAUUCUCUCACGGCAUCUGAUGGGCCAUUUUGUAUCCAUUUCAGGAGCCAUCUGUGGAACUGCGCCGUGAUCGGGUCGCUUCCCCCUUCCCCCUUACCCCUCCGAGAUAUGAUCAGGGUUUCCUGCGCCCUCUUCCUCUCCCCCCUGUAGGUCAACUCUCUGCAGGCGGGCGGUCAACCACGGUGGAUCAAGGGAUAAUUUUUCUAAUCCUGGAGUUCUAUAGAAUACCCGGGAUUCUCUUGCUUGCCAAACGGCCAAUUCCUUCUUCUCUAUCUGAAGAGGAGAUCGCAGCGGCCUCAUGUUGACUGCCCAUCCGACGUGUGUUGAGGGACAAGGAGGCUGCUCCGGCACAGCUUUUCUUCUAAGUUUUCUUCAGAUUCGGGAGCUCCACAUCAUUUUUGUCCUCUUCCUCUUCUUCUUCUUCUUCUGCCAUUUCUUUAUCUGUUACAUCUGUUCUGAGUGUUCUUGUAAAGGAAUGGAAAAGUGGUGAAUCAAAUAAAAUCUAGAGAACCCACAUUGUGAAUCUGGAUCUAAUAAAUCUCUCUCUCUCUCUCUCUCUCUCUCUCUACAUAUGUAUGUAUAGAUGCAGAGACUGUCAUGAUUUCUGAGUUCUCUUGCAGGCUUUAUGGCCCGGAUCGGGAGAAAAAGGUUUCUAAACAUCGGAGGGUUCCGAGAAUAUGGGAAAAGGUAUGAUUUUCAUUCAAAUAUGGAUGGAAAAUCAUAGAAAAAGGCAUAAAUUUGGUAGCUUUUUGCAGUUUUUUUAAUCAAAAAAGCGGGUAGAGAGAGUACUCCUCUCUCAGCCAUUCACCGGGCAGUCUCUGCCAAAAGUGGCCCUUUGCCAAAUUAUUAGCCUAAUUCUCUUAUUUUUAAAGAUAAAUAAAACCUUCAGAGGAUCUGACGAAUUCCUCCCCGCAUUAUCAGCCGCCUCCCUCUUCCUCUCUCUCUGGAAGCCUGGAUCCGGCCUAUGCAAUUCGGGUCGUUACUGGGCCUGACGGACCCGGGAAGAUCCACCGAUCACGAAGCUAAGACCGGUUCUUUUGGGAUCCGAACCGAUAGGGAAAGUGGCAUAGGCACCAAGCCGGGUCGUGAUUGGCCCCGUCCACGAUAUUUUUGAAAGAAUAAAGAAUAAUAUAUAUUGGCCAAAAAAGGCGGCAAUCACGCCGGAGCCGGAGGGGCUCCUCCGCUGUACCCUGCUGGGGAGGGGUUGGGAGGAGGAGCGUCGGAGUUGAAGAACUCGUCAAUGUCCACGAGAUCUGCGAAUUCCUCCUCCACGCGCCACGUGGAGUCCCCCGUCAGCUCCAUUGGCCCCUCCUCCACGGCGACGCUCCCGAAGUCGUCCAUCUCCGCGAAGGGGAACCCCGGAGGAGGCGGCGCCGCCGGUGAGAAGUCCAUCAGCGGCAGAUCAUUCAACGGCAGUAGCAGCGCCGCCAAGUCCUUGCCCAACCCCAUCUCCAGAUCCUCGAAAAUCGGGUUGCGCCGCUUCCCCACCUCCUCCUCCGCCGCGGCCGCCGCCGCCGCCUUGGUUCUCUUCGUCGCUGGCGAUUCUCGGUCGUCUGGGGGGUUCAUCUUCUUCUGCUCUGCUUCGUCCUUGGGGGCGUAGCAAAGCACCGACUUUGGAGAGGACGAGGAGUCGAGGACGGGCUCCUCGCCGGAGUUGGGGAGGUUACAGAGGGCGGCGGCGCCGCGGAGCUUCACGGCGGCGCGGUCGUAGGCCAUGGCGGCCGCCUCCGCCGUGUCGAAGGUGCCCAGCCAGAGGCGGGUCUUCGUCGACGGGUCGCGAAUCUCGGCGGCCCACUUACCCCACGGCCGCUGCCGGACCCCUCGGAACCUCCUCGGGGGCGCCGGCGGCUUCUCGAACUUGCAGGGCCUUGCCUUGCCGCCGCCGGGGGCGGCGGUGGCUCUGAGGGAGACUUCCCCCACGACGAUCUCUUGGACGUAUCGCUUGACGCGGCGGCGGCGGGACGGGAAGGAGUCGUCUUCCUCGUCGGAGGAGUCGGUGGCGUCUCCGUCGACGACGGAGACACGGAGGAGGCGGGGAAGGAAGGUGGCCCCAUUGGAGGAGGGCUUGAAGGUCUUCGUCACUUGUCUCCUGAUCUCUGUGAACUUGAAAGCCGGCGCCGGAAAGAAAGAAGAAGACCCUUCGUUCCCCAUCGCCGAUAUGGCGCUUAAAUGCCCUCGUCUGUUCGUCAGCUCGCCGAGAACAUCGCUGCCUGGAAGAGGAGGAGGAGGAGGAAGAAGAAGAAGGAGACAGAACGACCUCUGUAACGAAUCAAUGCUCCUUGAAAGAUGAUGACAGAGAAGAGACGAUAGAGAGAUCGGAUAUUUGGAAAGGACAGAGCUUGCUUUGGGGAUGAUGGGGAGAUCAAAUUCGGCAGAGGCCCGCGAGAGGUUGGAUCACCAGGGCGGUGAGUUGCAGACAACGCCGGCCAGACGCCGGCGGCAUCGGCGGCGGUCGCAGGGCUGAGCGAGCAUCUCCCCCUGCCCUGCUCCGCAUUGGUAGACAAACGAAGGACGCCCAAGGGGAGAGAGAGAGACUGAGACAGAGACAGAGAGGAGUAGAUCGCAGCGGAGAAGAGGCCACUGCGAAGGAUGCUGAACUGUCGCGUUUUAAGGAUGCGAGCAGCCGAAUUCGGGUAACUUCUCUCUCUCUCUCUCUCUCUCUCUCUCUCUCUCUCCUCCUUAUGUUUCUGAAUUUGGUUACUUCCUAUUCUGCCGGGGGUGGGGAGGACUCUGCCGGAGGAGAGUAGUUCCCGUUGGGAGGUGGCCCGCCCUUCUCCCCUGUUACCGCCGGAUUUUUGAAAUCGGCGGCGGAGAAGGCGAGCCCUCCUGGCCAGCUCACCCCCGAAACGGCUGACCCAGCCGCCCCUCCGAUCCUAGAUACUCGGAUUCUCCGGAUUCUGUUUUACUCUUUUUUCUUAUUUCCAAAUUGGCUCUGAUUCCUAAAUUAUUCAUCAUAUAAUCUCUCUCCCCCCAAACUGCCACGUGUCCGUCUCUGCCCCUCCGCACUGCCACGUGGCGCUGCAUGGGAGUUCAGCUACUUCCAGAGUGAAAGCCCAGCUUAAUAUUUUUUAUAUAGCUAAUUCGGAUAAAAAUAUCUGAUUUCUUCGUGCAUACGUUCGGGUGCCCGUAAUUCGUAAAAUUUAUUGCUAAUUCCCCAGUCAUUUAAUUUGAAAAAUGGCAUAAUUAGAAUAAAAAAAUACCUGACUUAUUUCAAAAAUGAUUUUCAUUAUUUUCGUCGCGUUCGCGCGAGAAUGAAUCGUGAGCGAGUCAACGAGAGCCCGGCAUCUCCUCCUCAUCGGAGUCUCUCUCGAUGAGCGCUCGUCAACGAUGCCCAGUUUUGAGUGGAGAGAGGAUCUGAAGGGACCGGCGUACCUGUGGAAGAGCAGCCGCCGGAUUCGAGAACCGACGCGGCCGUCGAGCGUCUCUUCAUCUCGCCGGCGCCGGUCGCCGCGUCGGACAGGAGGGGGGAAGAAGAAGAAGAAAAAGAAGAAGGGAGGGGGAGGGAAGAGAGAUCGCCGGUGAGUCUCGCCGGUGCCGGUGGCCGGCGACUGGGGGGCGGGAGCUGCAUUUAUAUGGUGCGAGCGGGAGGAGGGGACGGGAAGCCGGGAAGGCUCUCUCCUUCCCCAUUUAUCUCGGAGGCCGUUUAAACAAAGUAGGAAUAAUUAAUGGGCCCGGUUACCAGGCCCAACUAGACUUUUCGAUGUCGAGGGUUUCUGUAGUGGACCGUCUUUCAUUUGAAUGGGCCUGGAGCCGCCACAGAGCAAAUAGUUUUGGGCCAGACAAGGCGAUUUCUGACCAAGGCAACUGGGCUCCAGAAUCGGCCCGAUAAUAAAUAUUGAGGGAAGACGUCCCGGGGAGGAGUUACCCCACUGCCUGUUCAUUCUCAUUGGCAGAGGUGACCGAUGAGAGAGAAAAGAGAUGUGAGAUAUACAUAGAGAGAAGAAAGAAGAGAGGAGAGCGAGAGAGAGAGAGAGAGAGAGUGAUGAGACUCCCAACUCCACAAAAUAUGAUGAAUGCUCAAAGAGAAAAAGAAGAAGGGAUAGAAACUUUAAGGAACCUGCAUGAACUCUAGAACUAUUAGGACUUUCAAGACAACUUUUAAGAGACUUUUAUUUCUUCUGGGUUUGGAUCCUUAAAAUUAUUUGAAGACAUACAAGUUACAACCUUGCCCUUCUCUCUUAUUCGAGUUGAGCUAUGGUUUAGCUUUUUUGGGCCACAAGUUAUUCAUUUUGGGAUGGUGUUCUUCACCUUCUAAAGUAUGCAAUAAUCUGGGUUGUAUCAAUGCUCUUCCUUUUGUUGAACACUUUGUGUUUAAGAUGCAACUUAAGGAGUUGUCUUUAAAAAGUUGUUAACUGAUUCUUGUAAAAGUUCAGAUUUAGUCAAUUGAUCUCACUAAAUUAAACUUAUUAAUUAAAAAGUAUGGAAUGAGCAUCUAACUUCUCCUUAGGGCACAUUAUCAUAUGAAAUUUACUAUCCAUAUUCUCCACUAAAUUUUACUAUCAAUAAGUGUUAAGGCAUUGCAUAAUUAAAACACAUUAGACAGUUGAGUGAAGUGAAGAUGGUAAGAUAAAUUUAUGACUAUAAGCUGCACAUCCAAAGAAAGUACAUUGGAGUUAAUUUUUCUUUUCAUUGCUAAAGAUUUCAUCUUAUAUGAUAGUAACUUAGGAUAAACUUGCUCACUCACUGAAAAUUGUGCAUCUUUUGUGUUGGUUGACUUCAAUUUUCAAUUGAUUUCAAGCUCUAUUGAGUUUUAGUUAACUCAAAUAGAAAAUAUGGUUUUGAUGAUUUUGAGAAAUAUUAUCUUUAAAAUGAUGAUAUUUGAUGUGAAUUGAAUGAAAGAUUAAUGUGUUAAUUGUAUUGAUGAGUUCAGAUUGUUUGAAUAAUGAAUUAAGGUCUAUAUCAUGGAAAAAGCUAUUACUAUAUUUAAUUUUUUUUCAUGAAUACAACUCUUACAUAAUUUAAAGAUAAGGAAAAUAACAUGUGUAGUAAAUAUAUUUUUUUUGAUUAAAUAUUAAUAUUUAAAUUAUAUUUAUCAGAUAUUUUUUAUAUCAUAGGCAUUGGGAAUAUAUUUGAAUUAUAAUUCAUGUGUUAAAAUAUUAAAAAAAAGAGUGAGUGGUUGAUUUGAUAUUGAUUUUAUAAGAUUAUUGCUCUAAUAUACUAACAUAGGUAAAAUCAGACAAAGAUAUGAUAUUUUCUAAUAAAAUAAUUUUCAUCUCAAAAAAUUUGUGACAUAAAUUUGCAUGAAUAUAAUCAAUGGAAGCUGGACUUGAACAGGAAUGUAGAGAAAAAAACAUUGUCAAAAAGUACCAUCUAUCAAGAGAAUUAUGAAUUUUUUACUCUUUAUGAUUUAUGUUUAUGUAUUUUUCAAUUUGCCCACAACCUCUUAAGACCCAUUUUAGAUUGACCAUAAGUAGGUAAGGGCAAAAAAAAACAAAAGAGUUGGUCAACCCUAAUAAUAAAUAUGCUUCUUUGUAUAAACAAGGGUUAAGGAAAGAAAUACCGAAUUUUCAAGUGAUGACUAUUGUUUCAUUUGCACAUCUUCUUCUUUCUUAACUCAUCUUUAUUUCUCCAAUGAUCAAGGACAAGUCAAAUCAAAUCAAGGAAGUUUUGAACAUCUCUCAAUUGACUCACAAAAUUUUUAUUUUAUCUCAUUAUCCUCUAGCUUCUUUCAAUAACAUCAAUCAUCAUUUGUGAACAAAAAAUAAAUAUUGAAGGUCGUCAUAAAUUCAGUCAUUAUUUUUUAUGCUAGUUUGAUUUGUGAUGUUUGGCUUGGUAUAUAUAUGCAUAAUGUGUUGUCUAUGUAGCCACAUAGUUCAUUGAGUGACAAGCAAUGUGCAAUGAUGAGACUUUAGAACCAAAUAAUUCUAAAUUUUUUAAUAUAUUAAUUAUAAUGUUCUUAAUCAAAGGCUUGUUGAUUUUGAUUGUAGAAAAUUUUCUUAAUUCAUAUAAAAUUAAAAGUGUAUUUUUUGGAAGAAUAGUAAAAUUGAGGGAGAGUAUAUUGAGGCUUUGACCUCAACAUACCAUUCUUGUGGGAGAUGAUCCCACUAGAAGAAUGACACCAAUAACCAUAUGAACAUUCUAGAACUAGUUAACACUAUUAAACUUGAAGCCAUCUGAAACAAUUUAAUAAUAGUUGAAUAUGCUCUAAUAAUUCUCAAAGAGGCAAACAUGGAUGUUGGGCUAGAGAAGUAGAGUGAAUCAUAAGUUACAAUAGCUACAGGAAGCCUAGAGACGACAUAAGACUCAAAAAUAGUUACAAUAUAGAUAACCAUUUAAAGCCCUCCCCCCAUCCCCUCCCGACAAGAAGGAAGAAGCAAGAGAGAUUGGAGGAGAAAAAGUUUUGUGAAAAGACCCAUUGUUAUAACUGAGGUCUUUGAGGAGCCACAACACCUUUUCCCCCUAUUUUUUUCCUCGUCACAUUCCGUUAGUUUUCCCUUAUCAUCUUCUUAAGAAGGUAGUAUAUCUCAAAGGUGUUCUAAUUUCUAAUAUCUUCUUUCUCAAUUCUUAAUUUUACUUCUCAACCUAAUUAUUGUGGGAGUUUAAGUUUAUAUCAAAAUACCCAAGUGGAUAUAAGCCAAAGGACUUUGACCGAACUACUUUAAAAAUCUAGUGCAUCAUCCUCUUCUUUAUUUUACUCCAAGAUAUAUAACUAACAUAUUCAUAGACAAAUAAAUUUAAAUAAAUACUAUUAUCUUUAAAAAAGUGGUAAAAUAAAUUCACCCAUCCCCUCUUGAUUUCUUAAGCAAUAUUGAGACCAAGAAAUUAUUUGAAAUUGAUUUGAGUUGGUUAAAUAUUUGGUCUUAAAUUAUAAUUUAUUUUCUAUGAUUGCAACAAGGGUAGGCAAUGAUCUAUAAUAUAAUAGUGAUAAAAAAAUCUCUCUAAUGACCUAAAUAAAGUUAUCGCUAUGGAGUUAUGAUAUGAUGUAAUUGGGAAUUAUACUCUAAUUAAGUCAAUAUAUCAAAAUUUGACAGUUUUAGAGAUAAUAAUUAAGAUACUUUUUUCACACACUAAUUUACUACUUUGGUUUUUCCAUCAACUUGUGGGUGAUGUAUCAUGCUCCAUUUAAGUUGUGUAUUUUGGUGCUUUAAUAGUUUGGGCCAUAACAAGUUUAUAAGUAUAGGGGUUACAUUUUAAGACUAUGGAUUUAAGAUUAUCAUGAAUCAAAAUUUUUUGUAUGAAUUUAUUGAUACUCAAUAUUAUUGUAAAUAGAUGUUUUAUUAUAAUAAAAUAUUCAUAUUUACCAAAACAAUUAAUUAUGACUAAGAUAAAAUUAUACCUUAGAGACAAGAAAAUAUUCACUAAAAUCCAUAAACAUUUGUUCAUAAAUAUAUUUCAAAAUUUUGAGAGGUUGAAGUCAUCACAUCAAUAAUACAAAGAGGAUUUUUUUCAUUGUCACAUACCUUUUAAUCAUCUAUUUCAUUCUAAUAUAAUGAACUUACUAGCUAUCAUUCAUCGUUACUAUAUAUUAGUAUAUUUUAAAAAAUUGAUAAGCCUUAAGUUUGAAAUAUCAUUCAUAAUUGACUAAACUAUAUAAGACAUUUGUGAGAUGAACAACAUUACCACAAAUUCAUAAUGACCAUCAUGGAUGUUACAAUUUAUUAUGAGAAUGUUCUCUUUUUUCAUCUAAAUUUGAUGAAAUCUAAACUUAAAAUCUAACAUCAUAAAAAUAAUCAUGUUGUAUCACUAGUUUAAUAGUUAUUCUAUCACUAGUAUAAACAUUUGUUUAGAAAUUUUGGCUUGGUUUAAUACUUUGUAAUCUACACAAAAGCUUAUUUUUCAUCCUUCUUCUUGUCUAAGAAGGUUGGAUUUGAAAAUAAACUAUUAGAACGUUAGGUGAUCUUAGCCUAUCACAUAUCUUGAACAAGAGAUUUGAUCUCAUCUAUUUGGAUAUGAGAAUAUCUAUAAGAACAAACAUUAAUAGGUUUUAUACUUGAUGUUAACAUAAUGAGGUGAUUGUGCUUCUUUUGAAUGAGAACUCAUGUACUGAGUCAAAGAUUCUUAAAAAUUUGACUUCAAGUUGCUUCUUCCUACUAGAGGAAAUUAACUUUAGAACUUUAUAACUCUUUAAUAAUGGACUUUAAGAAUAUCAUCAAUUUACUAAAACAAGGACCCUCUUCAAUGUCUUAAUUACUUCAUCUAUUGAGAAAUUCAUAGUGAUUGUGUCAAAUCAGUUGAAUUACCUCUAAUGUUUUCUACCACUAAUUUGUAAGAUGACAUUCAUAUUUUUUAACUUCAAGGGUAAGAAAUCAUAUAUUGUCAAUAAGCCUUAGAUUAUGAUUCUAAUUUUCUUACCCAUUCCAUAGUAGUUAAUUACUUAUUCAAUAGUUAAUAUUAUGUAGCUUACUAUCUUUAAUAAGAGUAAAUUCAAUACAUCUUCGAACUUGUCACAAAUAAAAUUAUUGUUUGUCUCAUGAUGAUGAAAUUAUGCCCUUAAACAUAGCCUUUAAGUUUCAUGAUACUCAUUCUAUUAGUCUCACAACAUAAUCUAGUGAUGCUUUUGCCAUCUUCAAAGUUUCUUCUUCAAUCUAUUCACUCAUUUAAAUUGAAUCUUCUUUGUCAUGUAAAUGUCACUCGUUAUGCCCAAUACAUUUACUAAGGCCACAAUCUUCUUCUUGUAUUAGUAAAAUUUAAAAAUAUUUGUUAAAUUAAAUCCAUAAUAAUUAAUUUAGACAUAGACUUGUCAUCUUAGUGAAAAUACAACCCAUUUUCACAAAUGUAAUUGUAAUUUAACUCAAUAAAAAUACAACCCAUUCUCACUAUCAACCAUCAUCUCGUUUCUUGGCAUGAUCAAUUUAGACUUGUUAAUUCCUACAUGAGUGAUUGUGUUAUCAUACCUUAGUUGUCAUAACUUUGCUUGGGCAAACUUUAACAAUAUGCUUCAGCUUGCUCCUAUCAUUACUUUAUGUAGAGCUUAGGAAUUAUUGGGUUGUAAAUUUACUCUUAUAGUGGUUCAGCUUCUAGGCCACUCACAUAUUGCAAAGUCUCUCUUUAAUUUAUUCAUAACUUAGAUUAUUCAUGCUCAACAUUUCUUAUUUUGCCUCUCGAAAUGAUUAUUUCUCAUAAUAUAUUUAGGGACCCUUUUCAAAAAUACCAUCAAGUCAUCAAAAACUUGCCAUUACUUUGAUAUUACUCUUUCUUCCUUGAGGUUUACAAACUAUUGGCAUACAUUACAUAAUGACAUGUUAUAAAAUAUUGAAAGAAGUAUACUUAUGGAUAUUGUCACCCCUAGAAAGGACAUCUCUUAUUCGUCCAUAGGUACCAUGAUAAGAUGUCACUUUUCAAGACACAUAAUUGCAUUAUUACUCUAAUCCUUUUUGAAAAUUUUGUUCAUCUUGAAGUAAAGCUCAUUGUAGCUUGGUGUGGAGGUAUAUGAGAGAUCAAUGCAUUGUCAAAGCUUCCCCUUCUCACCGAUAAAGAAUGGAUCUAAAUAUUUGUGUUAUUAUCAAUGAAGCAAGACAUUAUGAACCUUUAAAGACCUUUUAAACUUUCAGAUAACGGCUCUAAUGAUUUAGCCUUUAGAGACUUUGGAUGUUGUAUCAUGCUUUCCUUCUUCUAGUUGUCUCAUUUUGGGACUUUGUUGGUCAAUUAUUGUUUGAUGAUCUUUCAUAUUGUCCAAACGUCAUAAAAUCUUUAACAUGGUGGUGAUAUCUUUCACUUUGAUUCUUCAUCUCUUCCUACAAGUAGUCUAUCCAAUUGUUGUUGGGCUUUAGUGCCAUGUAUCUGAAAUCGUCGCUCUAAUACAGGUGAUACAAGUCCUAACAACUCCACAAAAAUGUGAUAGAACGAUAGAAAAGAUAAUAACUAUAGGGAACCCUAAGGAGCCCUAGAACAAUUCAAAUGACUCUCAAUAAGCCUUCACCUCACGGUCUUGAUUUCUUUUGUUCUUGUUCCUUGAUGCCCAUCUCCUCUAGGCCUAGCUCCUGAUAAUCCCCCAAAGGCAAACAGGUUAUCAUCUUACCCUUCUUUCUUACUUGAGCUGAGCCAAGUUUUGACCUCGUAAGGCCACAGUUGGCCCUUUUGGGUUGAUCUUCUUGUCAUUCUAAAGCACGUAAUUAAGUGUGUAAUCUCCUAGAAGACAUACGGAGAGGCACAGAACAGAUUGCGCAUUAAAUAAUGCAGCAAGAAUAAAAACCCAGGAGUCCUCAAAGAGACAUCGUCAGCCCUCCAGAAUAGGCUUAGAGAGAGAGGGAGAGGAAGAUCACAAGAUGGUAACAAUUUUAAUAGAUACAGAAAGCUUAAUCAAACAGGCCAACCAGCGAAGAAAAGAUGAGAAAGAGAGAGAGAGAGAGAGAGAGNNNNN
rnacentral:lncRNA from 1 species